UUUCCGUAGGUGAACCUGCGGAAGGAUCAUUAUUGAAUUAUGAAAGGGGUUGUAGCUGGCCUUUUCGUUUGAGAGGCAUUUUGUGCACGCCCCGAUCAUCAUCCAUUUUUCACACCUGUGCACACUCUGUAGGCUUGGCUGUUUUGGGGCGAGGUCUUUAUUGACUUGGCUCUGAUUGGUCUUGCCUAUGUCUUAUCACAAACUAGUUUGUCAAAAGAAUGUACAAUGUGUGUAACACACUUAUAUACAACUUUCAGCAACGGAUCUCUUGGCUCUCGCAUCGAUGAAGAACGCAGCGAAAUGCGAUAAGUAAUGUGAAUUGCAGAAUUCAGUGAAUCAUCGAAUCUUUGAACGCACCUUGCGCUCCUUGGUAUUCCGAGGAGCAUGCCUGUUUGAGUGUCAUGGAAUCAUCAACUUUAUUUACUUUCGUGAGUAAAGCUUGGAUUUGGAGGUUUAGUGCCGGAUACUUUUCUGUAUUCGGCUCCUCUUAAAUGUAUUAGCUCGAACCUUUUGUGGAUCAGCUCCGGUGUGAUAAUUGUCUACGCCGUUCUGUGAAGCAUAUGUUGUAUAGGUUUUCGGCUUCCAAUUGUCUUCAAUGAGACAACUUGACCUUUUGACCUCAAAUCAGGUAGGAUUACCCGCUGAACUUAAGCAUAUCAAUAAGCGGAGGAAAAGAAACUAACAAGGAUUCCCCUAGUAACUGCGAGUGAAGCGGGAAAAGCUCAAAUUUAAAAUCUGGUGGUCUUUUCGGUCACCCGAGUUGUAGUCUGGAGAAGUGCUUUCCGCGCUGGACCGUGUACAAGUCUCUUGGAACAGAGCGUCGUAGAGGGUGAGAAUCCCGUCUUUGACACGGACUACCAGUGCUUUGUGAUGCGCUCUCAAAGAGUCGAGUUGUUUGGGAAUGCAGCUCAAAAUGGGUGGUAAAUUCCAUCUAAAGCUAAAUAUUGGCGAGAGACCGAUAGCGAACAAGUACCGUGAGGGAAAGAUGAAAAGCACUUUGGAAAGAGAGUUAAACAGUACGUGAAAUUGCUGAAAGGGAAACGCUUGAAGUCAGUCGCGUUGGCUGGAACUCAGCCUUGCUUUUUUGCUUGGUGCAUUUUCUAGUUGACGGGCCAGCAUCGAUUUUGACUGCUGGAAAAAGGCUGGGGGAAUGUGGCACCUUCGGGUGUGUUAUAGYCCUCAGUCGCAUACAGUGGUUGGGAUCGAGGAUCGCAGCACGCCUUUAUGGCCGGGGUUCGCCCACGUUCGUGCUUAGGAUGCUGGCAUAAUGGCUUUAAACGACCCGUCUUGAAACACGGACCAAGGAGUCUAACAUGCCUGCGAGUGUUUGGGUGGAAAACUCGAGCGCGCAAUGAAAGUGAAAGUUGAGAUCCCUGUCAUGGGGAGCAUCGACGCCCGGACUUGAACUUCGGUGAUGGAUCCGCGGUAGAGCAUGUAUGUUGGGACCCGAAAGAUGGUGAACUAUGCCUGAAUAGGGUGAAGCCAGAGGAAACUCUGGUGGAGGCUCGUAGCGAUUCUGACGUGCAAAUCGAUCGUCAAAUUUGGGUAUAGGGGCGAAAGACUAAUCGAACCAUCUAGUAGCUGGUUCCUGCCGAAGUUUCCCUCAGGAUAGCAGAAACUCAUGUCAGAUUUAUGUGGUAAAGCGAAUGAUUAGAGGCCUUGGGGUUGAAACAACCUUAACCUAUUCUCAAACUUUAAAUAUGUAAGAACAACCCGUCACUUGAUUGGACCGGUUGGCGAUUGAGAGUUUCUAGUGGGCCAUUUUUGGUAAGCAGAACUGGCGAUGCGGGAUGAACCGAACGCGAGGUUAAGGUGCCGGAAUACACGCUCAUCAGACACCACAAAAGGUGUUAGUUCAUCUAGACAGCA
rnacentral:rRNA from 1 species